GCUUAUUCUCAGGGCGGGGUGAAAGUCCCUACCGGCGGUAAAUUGGUACGCUUCGGCGUCACUGAAAGCCCGCGAGCGCCCGCAUGAUCAUGUGGGGUCAGCAGAUCCGGUGUAAUUCCGGGGCCGACGGUUACAGUCCGGAUAGGAGAGAGUAACG
rnacentral:ncRNA from 2 species